AUGAUCCCUAUAGGGCACGGUCAGCGAGAGUUCAUUAUUGGGGACAGACAGACUGGCAAAACAACAGUAGCCACAGAUACAAUUCUGAAUCAAAAAGGGCAAGGUGUAAUAUGUGUUUAUGUAGCUAUUGGUCAAAGAGCAUCCUCCGGAUCUCAAGUAGUAACUACUUUCCAUGAGGAGGGGGCCAUGGAAUACACUAUUGUAGUAGCUGAAAUGGCGGAUUCACUUGCUACAUUACAAUACCUCGCUCCUUAUACGGGAGCAGCCCUGGCUGAGUAUUUUAUUUACCGUGAACGACAUACUUUAAUAAUUUAUGAUGAUCUCUCCAAACAGGCACAAGCUUAUUGCCAAAUGUCCCUUCUAUUAAGUCCCGACCGUGAGGCUUAUCCAGGGGAUGUUUUUUAUUUGCAUUCACGCCUUUUAGAAAGAGCCGCGAAAUUUAAUUCUCUUUUAGGCGAAGGAAGUAUGACCACUUUACCAAUAGUUGAGACUCAAUCUGGAGACGUUUCCACCUAUAUUCCUACUAAUGUAAUCUCCAUUACAGAUGGACAAAUAUUCUUAUCUGCGGAUCUAUUCCAUGCCGGAAUUCGACCCGCUAUUAAUGUGGGUAUUUCAGUUUCCAGAGUAGGAUCCGUGGCUCAAAUUAAAGCCAUGAAACAAGUAGCUGGCAAAUCCAAAUUGGAACUAGCUCAAUUUGUAGAGUGA
rnacentral:rRNA from 1 species